AAACCCAGAGCAGCUCAAGUUAAUUCGUGUUAUCAAGGUCAUAAUUAAACACAUUUUUCUUGUUUAUGAGUUUAGUUUUUGAAUCCCAGUGAUAUCUGUGUUUGUAAGGUGAGUCAGAAGUCUAAGCACAGCAUCUCAUUAAGCUACCCAAGCACGUCUUCUCUUCGAGCAUAUUGUUGGACAAAACACGUUAGCGAAUAAAUAUAAAUAUUUAUAUUAAAUACGAGAUCCAAAAAAUAAUAUAAAUAAACAUUUAUAUUUAUUUAAAAACCUCAAAUUUGAAAACAAUUAGAUAAACAUGAAUUUGGAAAAUCUAGAAUUGGAUAAGAGAAUCGAGUUUUACUAGAUGUUGAGUCCUAUUUUCACAUAUUUCUUAAGACUGAUUCAACAGCUCCUAUGGUACUUGGAAAAACGUUGGUCAUCUGUCUCUCAGGAUACAACAAGAAGAUUAUCGAAGCAAUAGCACCUCUACCGUGAUCAACGAACAAAUCUUGACUUCUUCUAUCACUGAAACAUUUAAAAAUUUGGAGUGAAAAAGAAAGAAUUUUGGGAGUGAAAUAAAUUUAUUAUGUCUCUAAAGAAUUCUAAAGAUACAAAUCUGCAUUAAAGGAGCCUUUUGUCCUUUUAAAUCAGAUUCUGUAUAAUAUCUGCUAAGAAGAAAGUAAAUACGUAUUGGGCUAAAAUAUCCAUAGGCUCAAAUAUUUUACAUUACCUACGUUAUGCAAGUACACACUCAAUAUUCUCAGUGAAUUUGGAUUCGCA
rnacentral:lncRNA from 1 species